rnacentral:rRNA from 1 species
AACGAACGCUGGCGGCAGGCCUAACACAUGCAAGUCGAACGCCCUAGCAAUAGGGAGUGGCAGACGGGUGAGUAACGCGUGGGAACCUUCCCAUUGGUACGGAAUAGCCCAGGGAAACUUGGAAUAAUACCGUAUAAGCCCGAAAGGGGAAAGAUUAUCGCCGAUGGAUGGGCCCGCGUAGGAUUAGCUAGUUGGUGAGGUAAUGGCUCACCAAGGCGACGAUCCUUAGCUGGUCUGAGAGGACGAUCAGCCACACUGGGACUGAGACACGGCCCAGACUCCUACGGGAGGCAGCAGUGGGGAAUAUUGGACAAUGGGCGCAAGCCUGAUCCAGCCAUGCCGCGUGAGUGACGAAGGCCUUAGGGUUGUAAAGCUCUUUUGGCGGGGACGAUAAUGACGGUACCCGCAGAAUAAGCCCCGGCUAACUUCGUGCCAGCCGCCGCAGUAA